GCUUGUCUCAAAGAUUAAGCCAUGCAUGUCUAAGUAUAAAUCUUUUACUUUGAAACUGCGAACGGCUCAUUAUAUCAGUUAUAGUUUAUUUGAUAGUCCCUUACUACUUGGAUAACCGUAGUAAUUCUAGAGCUAAUACAUGCUGUUAAGCCUGACUUACGAAGGGCUGUAUUUAUUAGAUAACAGACCAAUAUUCCCUCGUGUCUAUUGUGGUGAAUCAUAGUAACUGAUCGGAUCGCAUGGGCGUGCCCGCGACAAACCAUUCAAGUUUCUGCCCCAUCAGCUUUCGAUGGUAGUGUAUUGGACUACCAUGGCUUUUACGGGUAACGGAGGAUUAGGGUUCGAUUCCGGAGAGGGAGCCUGAGAAACGGCUACCACAUCUAAGGAAGGCAGCAGG
rnacentral:rRNA from 1 species